rnacentral:rRNA from 1 species
AACGAACGCUGGCGGCGUGCUUAACACAUGCAAGUCGAACGCGAAAGGGACUUCGGUCCUGAGUAAAGUGGCGCACGGAUGAGUAACGCGUAGAUAACCUGUCUUCGUGUCUGGAAUAAUACGCCGAAAGGUGUACUAAUACCGGAUAUUCUUGCUUUAUGUAAGUUUUGCAAGCAAAGGUGGCCUCUGCAUAUGCUACCGCAUGAAGAGGGGUCUGCGUACCAUUAGCUAGUAGGUAGGGUAAUGGCCUACCUAGGCGACGAUGGUUAGCGGGUGUGAGAGGAUGAGCCGCCACACGGGCACUGGAACACGGGCCAGACUCCUACGGGAGGCAGCAGUGAGGAAUAUUGCGCAAUGGGGGCAACCCUGACGCAGCGACGCCGCGUGAGGGAGGAAGGCCUUCGGGUCGUAAAGCUCUGUCAAGAGGAAAGAAGUGCAUGGUGGUUAAUACCCGCCAUGUUUGACGGUACCUCUAAAGGAAGCACCGGUUAACUCCGUGCCAGCCGCCGCAGUAA